CGAAGAGGUAACGUUAGGUGAGAAGCCUGACCACGGAGACAGGGGUGAGAAGGUGGUGAAGCGUACUUCAUGAGCUGUAACCGAAGAACUACUAACAGUUGGAAAGUUUGAGAAAAUACAGGAAAAUCAGACUGAAUGAGGUAUUUGCAGACCUGGACCAGAACAGAGACCUGGAGUUUGACUUCCAAGAGUUGAUCCCGUUGAUCGCCAUGGUGACAUCAGCAUGCCACGACCUCUUCAGCCCAGAUCACAACCAUUAGUGGCACAAUGUAAAGGCGUGACUGUGUUUCAGCAAAACACACACAGUGUAACCCUCUCACAAAGAUGAAAUGAUGAAGCUACUUUGUUUACAUGCCAUUGAAUUUCUUAUGGUAUAUAAUAAUAGUUGUAUAUAUAAACAUUUUACAAAUCAAUGACAAUCCAUAGAUGCCUACAUAACAAUAUGUGUUGUGAAAUUACAGUACAUUAACGAGAACACAGUCCAUCAGAUUUUGAGUUUUGGUCUUGCAUUGUGGAGAGACAUGAAAUGUACCAUUCUAACACAAAGUGGUCAUGAAGUUAUUACUAUUCCUCUCCCUUCACCCUCUUAAAUGGCGUUCCAUAAAUUCCAUGGACCUCUUCCAGGCAUCUUCUUGGGCGGCAGCGUGGGGUGCCAGGUGCCCUCCCCAGAGAGUGAUCACUAUAGGAGAAAAAAAUACAUAACAGGACAGCAUGGGAAAUAACCUGGAAAAAUGAAUUACAUUGUCAUCCUCUCAUUGAUAUAUGUUAAUUAAAAUGUCUAUUACCCUUC